AUGAUAGCAUUCAGGGAUGCAUUGGAAGUUUGUGGUUUAGUAGACUUGGGAUUUUCGGGGGUUCCUUUCACCUAUGACAAUAAAAGAAGUGGCUCAAGCAAUGUCAGGGUGAGGCUGGAUAGGGCCGUUGCAACAAAUGAUUGGAGGAAUAUAUUCCCCUUUGCCUCUGUACAACAUAUUCUAAGUCCUUGUUCGGAUCAUGUGGCUGUACUUCUCAAGGGCGAGGCGGAUUCUGGACCGGUUGGGCCGAAACAUCACCGAUAUGAGAUCUUCUGGGAGCGGGACUCCACGCUGCCGGAGGUCAUUAAGAACGCGUGGGAAUCUGUUGGCAAUGUCCAAAAUUUGGAGCAGCUGCGAGAGGCGCUAACCAAGACAAUGGUGUCGUUGGGUUCUUGGUCC
rnacentral:rRNA from 1 species